AACGCGAAGAACCUUACCAGGGCUUGACAUGCAGGGAAAUCUCGUAGAGAUACGGGGUCCGUAAGGGUCCUGCACAGGUGGUGCAUGGCUGUCGUCAGCUCGUGUCGUGAGAUGUUGGGUUAAGUCCCGCAACGAGCGCAACCCUCGUCCUAUGUUGCCAGCGAGUUAUGUCGGGGACUCAUAGGAGACUGCCGGGGUCAACUCGGAGGAAGGUGGGGAUGACGUCAAGUCAUCAUGCCCCUUACGUCCUGGGCUGCACACAUGCUACAAUGGCCGGUACAAAGGGCUGCGAUGCCGCAAGGUGGAGCGAAUCCCAAAAAGCCGGUCUCAGUUCGGAUCGGGGUCUGCAACUCGACCCCGUGAAGUCGGAGUCGCUAGUAAUCGCAGAUCAGCAAUGCUGCGGUGAAUACGUUCCCGGGCCUUGUACACACCGCUAGUC
rnacentral:rRNA from 1 species